GUGAUGAUGACUCGGAAACAGACUACCAUUGAACUUAUUAUUCUUUUUUUUUUUAAGAAAUACCGAGGAAAUUCCGAGGAACACUUGAUAUAACCUCUUUCCUCGGAUAAUAGUUAUUUGGUUUAUCUAGCAAGGCAAAGCUGAAUACGAAUUAAAAACUACUCAGUUCAAAAUUAUUUGGUUUAUCUAGCAAGGCAAAGCUGAAUAAGAAAUACGAACUCAUAAUUAAGAAACCCAAAAAAAAAACUCAGUUCAAAAUUAACAGAAAAUAAGACCAUAAAA
rnacentral:lncRNA from 1 species